GACGCGAGAGCGCCGCAGGCAGGAGCGGGGGACCCACGGUCUUCCGCCGGACCAGAGGCAUUGCGCCGCGCAGCACGGACAGCACCGCUGCCACGCGCACGCCACCGGUCCGGCUCGGGGUGAAGCCGGGUAUCCGCGUCCUUUUCGCGGUGCCGGCCGGGCAACUCACGUCCGAACCCGACAGCUGACCUCGUAGGCGUCGGUGAGGGACACA
rnacentral:sRNA from 2 species